AGAGUUUGAUCAUGGCUCAGGACGAACGCUGGCGGCGUGCUUUAGACAUGCAAGUCGAACGCGAAAGCCCCUUCGGGGGCGAGUAGAGUGGCGAACGGGUGAGUAACACGUGGGUAACCUGCCCCUCACUGGGGGAUAACCGGGGGAAACCCCGGCUAAUACCCCAUCCGCUUUCUGGGUCGCAUGGCCCGGCAAGGAAAGGUAGCUUCGGCCAUCCGGUGAGGGAUGGGCCCGCGGUGCAUUAGCUAGUUGGGGGUAACGGCCUACCAAGGCUACGAUGCAUAGCUGGUCUGAGAGGAUGAUCAGCCCACUGGGACUGAGACCGGCCCAGACUCCUACGGGAGGCAGCAGUCGGGAAUCUUGCGCAAUGGGCGAAAGCCUGACGCAGCAACGCCGCGUGAGCGACGAAGGCCUUCGGGUCGUAAAGCUCUGUUGUUGGGGACGAAGGGUUAGGGGUUAAUAGCCCCGAGCCUGACGGUACCCUUCGAGAAGCCCCGGCUAACUACGUGCCAGCAGCCGCGGUAAUACGUAGGGGGCGAGCGUUGUCCGGAAUUAUUGGGCGUAAAGAGCGUGUAGGCGGCCCGGUAAGUCCGCCGUGAAAACUCGGGGCUCAACCCCGGGCUUGCGGUGGAUACUGUCGGGCUAGAGGGUGGUAGAGGGGAGUGGAAUUCCCGGUGUAGCGGUGAAAUGCGCAGAUAUCGGGAGGAACACCAGUAGCGAAGGCGGCUCCCUGGGCCAUUCCUGACGCUGAGACGCGAAAGCGUGGGGAGCAAACAGGAUUAGAUACCCUAGUAGUCC
rnacentral:rRNA from 1 species